GGGCCCGUAGCUCAGUGGUAGAGCAUCUGCCUUUUAAGCAGAGGGUCGGAGGUUCGAGACCUCCCGGGCUCA
rnacentral:tRNA from 1 species